GGACCAGGAUCAAAUUGAGAGAUAUUUUUAUUCUUUACUCAAUUUAUAUAAACGACGAUAAGGAUGCAUCGAUCACGUGAACGAAAUAGCUUCAGAUAAUUACAUUGUUACUAACUUUUAUCUGUUAUGUAUGUUCGCUAAUAAGUAGUGCAAUAUGUUUAUUAUUGCAGUGAAUUGCAUAAAUCCGGCGCAUUUUUCAUCAACGUAAUUUGGGAGUGACGCCAAUCUGUAAUAUUUGCUUAAUUUUGUAUGUUAUAUUGUAUUGGAGUUUAGAUAAAUUUUUUUCAAAUUGGGGAACAAAAAUAGUACGAGGGAGACAAAUCUUGAGAAUGUGGAACUUUCAUCAGUUUUGCUGGCACAACUGCUGUGGUGUGAGCUGGCGCGCUAUCAUCGACCGACAAGGACUUUUUGUGGGCGAAUUAUUGACGUUUUUCUUGCAGCUCGGCUUGCAAACGGUCCAAUAACGAUGACUAAUAUGCACAUGUAAUAGUUUUACCAUUUUCCAUAUAAUUAAUGUCGAUUACUCCUAGUGAAUACCAGACCUAAACCUCAUACGCAAAAUGUUUUUGAAUUUUUCGCUCAUCUCGUUGAUCUACAGUGGUCUUGAGAAAAAUCGGCUUUUUACUCUUUCAGUGAUAAUUUUUCUAUUUUGAACCUGUUUCAAAAUCUAGGGUUUAUGUUGAAGCAAAAAGUUCAUACUAUACUAUACGAGAAGAUACUAAUUCAAUAUACCGAGUUGUGCGAUUGAACCAAAUAUUUGAAAGUUAAUUUCUAGACUCACAUACUUUGGGCGCAGCUCUGAUUUGGGUAAUUUUUUGAGCAACCCUGUAUAUCGAAUUUUCGUCUUAGAUCGUCUAUAAAGUUUAAGAUUCAACAUCAGCUCUAGGUGAUUUUUGAGCACAGUUUAAAUCACAUAAACAUCAAGUGCAAACCUAAUAAUAGCGUAAUAAACGCUUGAAAAAUAUAAAAAAGGCACAGAAAAAGAGAACACAAAUAUAAUUUGAAAUCACAAGUGCCAAUUAAACCAUUGAACAAUCGGAAUAACAAGCUUGAAAGCAGCUAUUCCCUAAGGACCACAAAGCAACACAAACGAACGAUUAAGUAGGGGAAGUAGAUCUUUUAUUGUAUAAAAAUCAGUGGUAAAGUAAAGUAAAAUGUCACUAAAAAUUAACGUGUCACUUAAUAUUUUGUAUCGGGCUAAGGCUAUUUUGGGCAAGAACAUCAAGUUCAAUCAGUAUCAAUUCUUAGCCUUAGAAAACUAAAGUUUUAGCAUUUUGUAAACCAUGGGACAAUAGCCCACAACUGUCCAGCAAGAAAAAUUGCAACAGCAACUCAUUUAUCUUUCUGUGAUCAUUUAAAAUAAGGCGCUACAUUCCGUGAGUAAAACUCUUCAAAUUU